rnacentral:rRNA from 1 species
GGAAUAUUGGACAAUGGGGGCAACCCUGAUCCAGCAAUGCCGCGUGUGUGAAGAAGGCCUUCGGGUUGUAAAGCACUUUGGGCGGGGAAGAAGGUGCGCUGUUUAAGAGAUGGCGCAUUUGACGGUACCCGCAGAACAAGCACCGGCUAACUCUGUGCCAGCAGCCGCGGUAAUACAGAGGGUGCGAGCGUUAAUCGGAAUUACUGGGCGUAAAGGGCGCGUAGGCGGAUGAGCAAGUGAGAUGUGAAAUACCUGGGCUUAACCUGGGAAUGUCAUCUUAAACUGCUGAUCUGGAGUACUGUAGAGGACAGUGGAAUUUCCGGUGUAGCGGUGAAAUGCGUAGAGAUCGGAAGGAACACCAGUGGCGAAGGCGACUGUCUGGACAGAUACUGACGCUGAGGCGCGAAAGCGUGAGGAGCAAA